AGUGAACGCUGGCGGUAGGCCUAACACAUGCAAGUCGAACGGCAGCACAGUAAGAGCUUGCUCUUACGGGUGGCGAGUGGCGGACGGGUGAGGAAUACAUCGGAAUCUACUUUUUCGUGGGGGAUAACGUAGGGAAACUUACGCUAAUACCGCAUACGACCUACGGGUGAAAGCAGUGGAUCUUCGGACCUUGCGCGAUUGAAUGAGCCGGUGUCGGAUUAGCUAGUUGGCGGGGUAAAGGCCCACCAAGGCGACGAUCCGUAGCUGGUCUGAGAGGAUGAUCGACCACACUGGAACUGAGACACGGUCCAGACUCCGACGGGAGGCAGCAGUAGGGAAUCUUGGGCAAUGGGGGAAAGCCUGACGGCGCAAAGCCGCGGGGGUGAAGAAGGGCUUCGGGUUGUAAAACCCUUUUUUUAGGGAAGAAAAAACGGGUAAUUAACUCCCCACGUUUUGACGGUACCCAAAAAGAAAGCCACGGCUAACUACGUG
rnacentral:rRNA from 1 species